rnacentral:rRNA from 1 species
CCAGGAAUAUUGCGCAAUGGACGAAAGUCUGACGCAGCGACGCCGCGUGGAGGAUGAAGGCCUUAGGGUUGUAAACUCCUUUUGCUAAGCCGUUCACAGCUUAGAGAAUAAGCCCCUACUAACUACGUGCCAGAAGUCUCGGUAAUACGUAGGGGGCAAGCGUUAUCCGGAUUUAUUGGGCGUAAAGUGUGCGUAGGCUUUCCAUAAAGUCUACACUUAAAUACCAAGGCUUACCCUUGGAGCUGGUGUAGAUACUCAUGGAAUUGAGGAUUGAUCGGGGUGCUGGAACAGUUAAUGUAGCAGUGAAAUGCGUUGAUAUUAACUGGAACACCAAGGGCGAAGGCAGGCACCUGAAUUUUUCCUGACGCUGAGGCACGAAAGCUGGGGUAGCGAAACAG